AUGAACGCUAGCGACAGGCCUAACACAUGCAAGUCAGGGGCAGCACAAGGAGCAAUCUGAGGUGGCGACCGGCGCACGGGUGAGUAACACGUAUGCAACCUGCCUGUAAGCGGGGAAUAACCCGUUGAAAGACGGACUAAUACCGCAUAAUACUAAAUUACUGCAUGGUAAUUUAUUUAAACAUUUAUGGCUUACAGAUGGGCAUGCGCAUGAUUAGCUAGUUGGAGAGGUAACGGCUCCCCAAGGCAACGAUCAUUAGGGGUUCUGAGAGGAAGGUCCCCCACACUGGUACUGAGACACGGACCAGACUCCUACGGGAGGCAGCAGUGAGGAAUAUUGGUCAAUGGACGAGAGUCUGAACCAGCCAAGUCGCGUGCAGGAAGAAUGUCCUUAAUGGAUUGUAAACUGCUUUUGCAGGGGAAUAAAGUGCAUCACGUGUGAUGUUUUGUAUGUACUCUGCGAAUAAGGAUCGGCUAACUCCGUGCCAGCAGCGGC
rnacentral:rRNA from 1 species